rnacentral:rRNA from 1 species
UACAGAGGUCUCAAGCGUUGUUCGGAUUCAUUGGGCGUAAAGGGUGCGUAGGCGGCCAGAUAAGUCCGCUGUGAAAUCUCGAGGCUCAACUUCGAGCUGUCGGUGGAAACUAUCUGGCUAGAGUCCGGAAGAGGAGAAUGGAAUUCCUGGUGUAGCGGUGAAAUGCGCAGAUAUCAGGAGGAACACCGGUGGCGAAGGCGGGUCUCUGGGCAGUAACUGACGCUGAGGAGCGAAAGCGUGGGGAGCGAACAGG